GGAAAGGUGACACAGCCUCUUUGUCUGAUGCAAAGCCCUGAUGAGUGAUGAAGAUCUAGCAGCUUUGACAUAAAUCCUGCAGACAGAGUGUGCUGAAGGUCAAAGUACAUGGAGCAAAAUAGUGAAAUGUACACAUGUAUGUGUGUGUUUGUGUGUGUGUCCAGCUGCACGUAUGCCAGCAUGCCAAGCACUAGCAGCCCGUUCAUCAUUAGAGUACCAGGUGGAGAUAUGGAUUGCAGUUCUGCUUUCAAGAUUUGAUCUUCCAUCUGGGCUUCUUGGCAUCGCAGAGCCUCUUUCUUUGAAAAUCCUGACCCAGUGUCACGAGGAGAACAGACCUAAGUCUCUUAAUCUGAUGGCUGUUAGCGGGGGUGACUGCUUUAGCAAUGCUCUGUUGAAAAAUGAACUUUGCAAUAAAUGACCUUCAGAGAAGAAGACUAUUCAUGUUAAUUAGUAGCUCUUUUCAAGCAGGAUUCGU
rnacentral:lncRNA from 1 species